rnacentral:rRNA from 1 species
UACAGAGGUCUCAACCGUUGUUCGGAUUCAUUGGGCGUAAAGGGUGCGUAGGCGGUCGGGUAAGUCGGAUGUGAAAUCUCAGGGCUCAACCCUGAAACUGCAUUCGAUACUGCCUGGCUAGGGUACUGGAGAGGAGACUGGAAUUCAUGGUGUAGCAGUGAAAUGCGUAGAGAUCAUGAGGAAGACCAGUGGCGAAGGCGGGUCUCUGGACAGUUCCUGACACUGAGGCACGAAGGCCAGGGGAGCAAACGGG